AACUGCUCUGAGGAUUCUGUAACUACUGAAGGCACUUCACGAUUCACAGCUGAGCCUUUGGUUGAUUACUCGGACACCGAAGAUGAAGUUUUGUGUUCUAAAAUUAAGACAUCUUAUAAAAAGAGAUCUGUGAUUCAUGAUGAUUCGGAUGAUCUCUUUGAAAAUUCGAGUGUAAAUGGUAAAGAUGACCAAGACAUUCAACGUGACGUCAGACGGAAUCAUGCAUCAUUUGCAAUGAGUGAACAACAUUCCGCUUGUACCACAGCAUCCAAAAGAGCAAAAAACACAAGAGUAAGUGUUAAUUAUUUAAAUAGCUUAAAUAAAGGGUUUCCGCGGGGUCAUAAAAAGUCAUAAAUUUAACCAUAAGAAUUUAAGGCCAUAAAAGUCAUAAAAACGUCCGGAUUUUCCAUACAAUGUCAUAAAAAAACAUUUAGCCACGUCUUAAAUUGAUAUGCUAGUCCAUUAAUUUGUUCUUCCAUCAAAAUACGCUCGCAGCAGCAAUGGCAUUCAUUUGUUUGACCUGUUGUAGUUCUGUAUGAGGAAUCUGGGUGGUAUCACACUGGUAUCACAGCGUUCCAGAACUACAAGGUCCAUGCGGCAGCAUACAGACUUGUCAGAAGGACUUUCACAGAAACCCGCGCGAACUCCGAACAUACUGUGUCAUACUGAGUCACUGCUUAGCUUAAUUGAAAUCAUCCUGGCUAUCACAAUGGUAAAAUGUACCUUUAAUGAUCCAUGGUUCGGAGACGGUGCGUUUAGCAGCUGGCUCAAGCCCGUCACUAACAAUCGGUAUCAAGCAUCGAUCCAUACACAAGACGCGGAAAAGGUUAACCGAUUAGCUGGUAACUAUCGCGCUGUGUUCGGUGCGGAGAGAGAGAGAGAGAGCCGCGUAUCACGGACAGUCCCUCCUGCACAUGAACCAACAAAUACUAAUCACAGUUUUGAACAAACAAAAGGACGUGAAAGAGCCCAAUUCAGUACCACGGUGUUCAGGUGUUCAGGGGUUCAGGGUUCACGCUGAGAAAGGCGUCUAAAAACACUUGUACACCGAAUUUGCUUCUUUUUGCUCUUGUGCCGACAAAUACAUAGCCUACAAAAUAUAUCAAAAUA